GAGGCAAAGCAAACAUACCAGACAUGAAGAUGAUGACAUGCAUCGUCGCUAGCAUCCUGCUGAUGCUUUCACAGGAGGCCUCCUUGCCGUCGCCGGCCGCCCCUCCGUCGCCGACGACGUGGUGGGCUCCAUCCUCCUGCCGAGCCAAGGCAAAGCGUCGUGGUGCAGGUGGAGGCGAGGAGGUCCAAGGAGGAGCAACAGUCAUGGCCAUGGGGGGAGGCGGCCGUGGAAGUGCUGCGACACAGCUAAGCUAGAGAGCUCUUUUAUACAGUACCAAAUCUCCAAACACGUAGAAUAUAUACUAGUAUUUGCAGCAAUUUUAGGUGUGGCAGCCGCCAAGGCAUGCCAGAUUGCUGGCUACGCCCCUGAUGACACGAGAACAAAAAUUUAAAAUACAUAUGACUUGUUAUAUUUGAUUAUGUAUAGUUGUAACAAUAUUUAUUGUACAUAAUUAGGAAAAAUCAAUGGAAAAUAUUUUUUUCAUGCA